AUGUCUUCCAAAACAAUCCAGGUCUUCCGGACAAUUCGGGUCUUCCAGAAAAUCCAUGUCUUCCAAAAAAGCUAUGUCUUCCAUCAAAUCCAUAGCUUCCAGGAAAUCCACGUCUUCCAACAAAUUCAUGUCUUCCAGCCUUCCUACGUCUUCCAACAAAGCUAUGUCUUCCAGAAAAUCUAUGUCUUCCAACAGUCAUGUCUUCCAACAAAGCCAUGUCUUCCAGAAACCUGUCUUCCAGUGAAGCCAUGUCUUCCAUCAACUCUUUGUCUUCCUACACCUCCAGGGCUUCCAGCAUCUCCAGGGCUUCCAGCAUCUGCUCGUCUUCCACCAUCUCCACAUCUUCCAGCAUCUUCAGGUCUUCCUACAGCUACCCAGCCUUCCAUCAGCAGGCUCAAUAUCCACGUCUUCCAACAUCUCCACUGCACCAGCCUUCUAAUAUCCAGGUCUUCCACUGUCUGCAAUAUCCAGAUGGAUCUUUUCAAAAUAGCACAUGAGAGCCGGGGAAUUACUUCAGUGGUGCCUCCACCUGCCUCACAAGCGCAAGGUCCUGAGUUUAAUCCCUGGUGGGGCAAUAGCACAUGAUGAUGUUUUUUACUCCAUCUGGGAAUGUCUGCCUUUUAAUUCACACACUUUUCUUAUUU
rnacentral:lncRNA from 1 species